CCUCNUUUAAGGUGGAAUUNCUUUNGAUACUUUCGGNCUUGANUNCAGGAGAGGUAAGUGGAAUUNCCCGGUGUAGCGGUGAAAUGCGUAGAGAUCGGGAGGAACACCAGUGGCGAAGGCGACUUACUGGACUGUAACUGACGCUGAGGCGCGAAAGUGUGGGGAGCAAACAGGAUUAGAUACCCCGGUAGUCCACACUGUAAACGAUGAAUGCUAGGUGUAGGGGGUAUCGACCCCGGGUGAACCGGAGUUAACACAAUAAGCAUUCCGCCUGGGGAGUACGGCCGCNAGGUUGAAACU
rnacentral:rRNA from 1 species